GAUUCAAUAAGGAUCUACAAUUCUAUAAAAAGGAAUGACAUGGAGAUUCUAAGAGAGGCUUUCCAAAAACAUGGGUCACUGGACGGCUGGACUGUUUGGAAUCCAGAACAGUGGAAGCAAGACUGUGUGAACUGUGGGGUAUUUGUGUGCACUGCAGCAGAAAUGGAAGCAAAAAAUAUGAAAAUGUCAUCUGAAGUGCUUCAAACAUGUCAGCUAGUACACCUAUGUGUUUACCAUGCCACAAGCAUGUUGAAAGAUGUGACAACUGAACUGGACAGGACUUUCCGACUGCAAUUGGAGAAACAGAGGAAAGCGAAAUAGAGACCAACAACUGCAUAGCCCAGGACAUAAAAGCCUGCAUUUAUCAAAACACAGGUAUAAGUAAGUACUGUGGCAUAUGCAAAUUUUGGUGUAA
ensembl:lncRNA